GAUGAACGCUGGCGGCGUGCCUAAUACAUGCAAGUAGAACGCUGAAGGAAGGAGCUUGCUCUUUCCGGAUGAGUUGCGAACGGGUGAGUAACGCGUAGGUAACCUGCCUGGUAGCGGGGGAUAACUAUUGGAAACGAUAGCUAAUACCGCAUAAUAGUAGAUAUUGCAUGAUAUCUGCUUGAAAGGUGCAAUUGCAUCACUACCAGAUGGACCUGCGUUGUAUUAGCUAGUUGGUGAGGUAACGGCUCACCAAGGCGACGAUACAUAGCCGACCUGAGAGGGUGAUCGGCCACACUGGGACUGAGACACGGCCCAGACUCCUACGGGAGGCAGCAGUAGGGAAUCUUCGGCAAUGGACGGAAGUCUGACCGAGCAACGCCGCGUGAGUGAAGAAGGUUUUCGGAUCGUAAAGCUCUGUUGUAAGAGAAGAACGAGUGUGAGAGUGGAAAGUUCACACUGUGACGGUAUCUUACCAGAAAGGGACGGCUAACUACGUGCCAGCAGCCGCGGUAAUACGUAGGUCCCGAGCGUUAUCCGGAUUUAUUGGGCGUAAAGCGAGCGCAGGCGGUUAGAUAAGUCUGAAGUUAAAGGCUGUGGCUUAACCAUAGUACGCUUUGGAAACUGUUUAACUUGAGUGCAAGAGGGGAGAGUGGAAUUCCAUGUGUAGCGGUGAAAUGCGUAGAUAUAUGGAGGAACACCGGUGGCGAAAGCGGCUCUCUGGCUUGUAACUGACGCUGAGGCUCGAAAGCGUGGGGAGCAAACAGG
rnacentral:rRNA from 1 species